rnacentral:misc_RNA from 1 species
AAGUCGUAACAAGGUUUCCGUAGGUGAACCUGCGGAAGGAUCAUUACUGAGUGAGGGUCCCUCGGGGCCCAACCUCCCACCCGUGUAUACCGUACCUUGUUGCUUCGGCGAGCCCGCCCCCCUUCCUUAGGGGUGGCACAGCGCUCGCCGGAGACACCAACGUGAACACUGUCUGAAGUUUUGUCGUCUGAGUCGAUUGCAUCGCAAUCAGUUAAAA